rnacentral:rRNA from 1 species
GGGGAAUAUUGCACAAUGGGCGAAAGCCUGAUGCAGCAACGCCGCGUGAGUGAUGAAGGCCUUCGGGUUGUAAAGCUCUGUCUUCUGGGACGAUAAUGACGGUACCAGAGGAGGAAGCCACGGCUAACUACGUGCCAGCAGCCGCGGUAAUACGUAGGUGGCAAGCGUUGUCCGGAUUUACUGGGCGUAAAGGAUGCGUAGGCGGAUACUUAAGUCAGAUGUGAAAAUCCCGGGCUUAACUUGGGAACUGCAUUUGAAACUGGGUAUCUAGAGUGCGGGAGAGGAAAGUGGAAUUCCUAGUGUAGCGGUGAAAUGCGUAGAGAUUAGGAAGAACACUAGUGGCGAAGGCGACUUUCCGGACCGUAACUGACGCUGAGGCAUGAAAGCGUGGGGAGCAAAC